GGGGGUCGUUUUAAUUGGAUGGGCUUUUUAAAACUUUUGUCGAAUUGGUGGCCAGAAAAAAAUGUACUAAACUUUGAAAAAUUGAAUUCUAUUCUAGUCUUUUUCGGACUUAGGUUUUUGUAGGUUUAUUCUUUUUUCUUAAUCUAUCUAUUUUUUUUCUUUUGUUGUUUUUGUGGAUUUGAGUUUUUUGAUGACGACCUACCAUCACAAGCCGUCAAUUAUCCGGAUGAUCAGAACUCGUCAGUACCUCCGCAACUAGUAGGAUUCAGAAGUAUUCAUAGAGUUUUUCACCCCAAUCUCAAAUGAUGUGGUUGAUGCAGAACCCGCAUUCCUUAUGGUGAACUGAAACUACUUCAAGUGAAAAGUGCCACAGGAUGACAAAACUUUCUCAUGAUGGAGACGUCAACAAUGCCGGUGAAGGGCUUCAAAAUUUAGGCCUAUGAUUGGAGCUUACAACCUUUGAGCAGGGGGUCUUUAUUCUGCCAUACCUGCUGUGACACAGGGCCUCGGGUUUUGUUGUCUUAUCCGAAGGACCGCCCCAUUUAGUCGCCUCUUACGACAAGCAGGAAUACUGAGGACCUAUUCUAACCCGGAUCACGGAGGUGUAUCGUCCAUAAUCAGAUCCACAAAAAUUCCACAGGAAACCAACCAACAGGACGGACACAUAAUUGUGUACACUCGAUUUAAGAUGCAGAUAUUGAAUUUAAUUUCUAUCAAUAUGUUGAUGAGUGUAUACAUGUGAUAACUAAGUGAUGAUACACAAUAUACUGUCUGUCAUCGUAAAUAAACGAUAACAUACGUGUUGUAAUAAUAUGUGGUCAACUGACGAGAAAAUUACGUUUUGUUUGAAUAAAAUAUUUUAUUUAGGCAUGGCGGAGUCGAAAUUAUUGGU